AUGGGAUUAGCUUGUUGGUGGGGUAACGGCUCACCAAGGCGACGAUCCCUAGCUGGUCUGAGAGGAUGACCAGCCACACUGGAACUGAGACACGGUCCAGACUCCUACGGGAGGCAGCAGUGGGGAAUAUUGCACAAUGGGCGCAAGCCUGAUGCAGCCAUGCCGCGUGUAUGAAGAAGGCCUUCGGGUUGUAAAGUACUUUCAGCGGGGAGGAAGGGAGUAAAGUUAAUACCUUUGCUCAUUGACGUUACCCGCAGAAGAAGCACCGGCUAACUCCGUGCCAGCAGCCGCGGUAAUACGGAGGGUGCAAGCGUUAAUCGGAAUUACUGGGCGUAAAGCGCACGCAGGCGGUUUGUUAAGUCAGAUGUGAAAUCCCCGGGCUCAACCUGGGAACUGCAUCUGAUACUGGCAAGCUUGAGUCUCGUAGAGGGGGGUGGAGUUCCAGGUGUAGCGGUGAAAUGCGUAGAGAUCUGGAGGAAUACCGGUGGCGAAGGCGGCCCCCUGGACGAAGACUGACGCUCAGGUGCGAAAGCGUGGGGAGCAAACAGGAUUAGAUACCCUGGUAGUCCACGCCGUAAACGAUGUCGACUUGGAGGUUGUGCCCUUGAGGCGUGUCUUCCGGAGCUAACGCGUUAAGUCGACCGCCUGGGGAGUACGGCCGCAAGGUUAAAACUCAAAUGAAUUGACGGGGGCCCGCACAAGCGGUGGAGCAUGUGGUUUAAUUCGAUGCAACGCGAAGAACCUUACCUGGUCUUGACAUCCACGGAAGUUUUCAGAGAUGAGAAUGUGCCUUCGGGAACCGUGAGACAGGUGCUGCAUGGCUGUCGUCAGCUCGUGUUGUGAAAUGUUGGGUUAAGUCCCGCAACGAGCGCAACCCUUAUCCUUUGUUGCCAGCGGUCCGGCCGGGAACUCAAAGGAGACUGCCAGUGAUAAACUGGAGGAAGGUGGGGAUGACGUCAAGUCAUCAUGGCCCCUUACGACCAGGGCUACACACGUGCUACAAUGGCGCAUACAAAGAGAAGCGACCUCGCGAGAGCAAGCGGACCUCAUAAAGUGCGUCGUAGUCCGGAUUGGAGUCUGCAACUCGACUCCAUGAAGUCGGAAUCGCUAGUAAUCGUGGAUCAGAAUGCCACGGUGAAUACGUUCCCGGGCCUUGUACACACCGCCCGUCACACCAUGGGAGUGGGUUGCAAAAGAAGUAGGUAGCUUAACCUUCGGGAGGGCGCUUACCACUUUGUGAUUCAUGACUGGGGUGAAGUCGGAACAAGGUA
rnacentral:rRNA from 1 species